CACGUAGGGGGACGAGCGUUGUCCGGAUUCAUUGGGCGUAAAGCGCGCGUAGGCGGCUCGGAAAGUCGGGGCGUGAAAUGCCGGGGCUCAACCCCCGGGACUGCGUCCGAUACUUCCGAGCUGGAGGUAGGUAGGGGGAGAUCGGAAUUCCUGGUGUAGCGGUGAAAUGCGCAGAUAAUCAGGAGGAACACCGGUGGCGAAGGGCGGGA
rnacentral:rRNA from 1 species